AAUACGAACCGUCCAAACGUUAUUCGGAAUUACUGGGCUUAAAGGGUAUGUAGGCGGCGCUGUUAGUCGGGUGUGAAAGCCCUCGGCUCAACCGAGGAAUUGCGCCCGAUACUGCAGUGCUUGAGGGAGACAGAGGUAAGCGGAACUGAUGGUGGAGCGGUGAAAUGCGUUGAUAUCAUCAGGAACACCGGUGGCGAAAGCGGCUUACUGGGUCUCUUCUGACGCUGAGAUACGAAAGCUAGGGGAGCGAAGGG
rnacentral:rRNA from 1 species